UUCACAUGUGAAAACUGUUUUAGAUAAUUAGUCCACUUUGCAAUCAGCCUAAGCACUAUAAACAGGCCACAGGGAAGCUGUCUAUGUGGAGUACAAUGGAAGGAGCAGCAAGAGUGAGAAGAGUGAGAAUCAGAGGAGGCCGAGGGAGAGGACGUGGAGGUGAAGAAGUUGGAGGAAGAGGACGUGGAGGAGCAAGAAGAGGACGAGGAGGGGAAAGAGGAAGGGUAAGAAGAGUAAGAAACAGAAUAACUGAUGACAUCAGAGCUACAAUAGUGGACCAUGUCAUCAACCAUGGGAUGACCCUGAGGGAAGCUGGCCAACGGGUUCAGCCUAAACUGAGCCGCUACACUGUGGCAGGCAUCAUUAGGACAUUUCGAAAUGAGAAUCGAAUUGCUAGACGUCCAGAUGUUGGAGGCAGAGGCAGAAUGUUCACUGCAGAGCAAGAGACCCAUAUAGUGAACAUGGUGAUUGCCAAUAAUGCAAUAAGACUGCGCGAAAUACAGCAGCGCAUAAUUGAUAAUGACACCAUCUUUCAAAAUAUACACAGUGCAAGCAUUUCUGCACUAAGUCGUGUACUUGUGCGCCACAGAAUAAGAAUGAAGCAAAUUUACAGAGUUCCUUUCGAGAGAAACACAGAACGUGUAAAGCAACUGCGAUAUGACUAUGUGCAGGUAAGCUAGUGUCAUUGGUUCUGAAUGUGGAAGUGCAUACUGUAGUGCUGUGCAUGGGCCUGAUGUGUUGGAUUUGUUUUGUCUUGUCCAGAGGGAAGGAACAUUAUUGGACACCGUGCCAUCAUCAAUGUCCCAGGACAACGUGGUGGUAACAUAACCAUGUGUGCAGCUAUAAGCCAAAAUGGUGUUGUUCACCAUCAUGCAACCA